GGCCCGUUCGUCUAGUGGUUAGGACGUCAGGUUUUCAUCCUGGUAACAGGAGUUCGAUUCUCCUACGGGCUACCA
rnacentral:tRNA from 1 species